rnacentral:rRNA from 1 species
UACGUGAGGUGCAAGCGUUAAUCGGAAUUACUGGGCGUAAAGCGUGCGCAGGCGGUUAUGUAAGACAGAUGUGAAAUCCCCGGGCUCAACCUGGGAACUGCAUUUGUGACUGCAUAGCUAGAGUACGGUAGAGGGGGAUGGAAUUCCGCGUGUAGCAGUGAAAUGCGUAGAUAUGCGGAGGAACACCGAUGGCGAAGGCAAUCCCCUGGACCUGUACUGACGCUCAUGCACGAA